GGGCAGUACUGCAGCGGGCAAGCGUUGAAGACCACAAUACCCACACCCACCUUGCUGAAGAAUGAAGGCCAAGAUGGCAUGCUACCCAUGUACAUGGCAGGUGUCGAUGCUCUCUCUUCUUACCCACCUCCUCUUGUUCGCAUCCAGCUCCGUGCCUAUCUACGGUGUCAAUGAUGACCUCUCAGCUCUCUUAUCAUUCAAAUCUUACAUAACAAAUGACCCAGGACAGGCACUGUCCUCGUGGGACGCUGCUGACAACGGCACCAACAAGCCGUCGGCUGAUUUCUGCCGAUGGGAUGGCAUCGCCUGCAAUGAUCGCCGGAACCCAGGUCGUGUCACGGCCAUACGUUUGCGGGGUUCAGACCUAGGUGGCACCAUCUCCCCACAUUUGGGUAAUCUCACUCACCUUCAAGACCUUGAUCUGUCACAAAACAACCUGCUAGGUGAGAUUCCAGUCAGCCUGGGCCGUUGCACAGAGCUUCGCACCAUGAACUUGAGUGUGAAUCAACUGUCUGGUUCAUUGUUCCCUGAUCCUCUUGGUCAUUUAUCGAAGCUAAAGGUAUUCAAUGUUCGCCACAACAAUCUGACGGGUGUUAUUCCCAUGACUCUGUCCAACCUUACAGCCCUCACGAAUCUUAGCGUCGAGAGCAACUACUUGCAGGGCCAAAUACCGAGCUGGCUCUGCAACCUGACAUCGUUGGCUGCCAUAGAUCUUGCGCUUAGCGGAUUAGAUGGCCAAAUUCCUGCAGAACUGGGAAAGUUAACUAAAUUGGCUUUCUUAAUGAUCCAGAGUAACCAAUUGGAGGGUCCUGUUCCUCCAUCCAUCUUCAAUACGUCAUCCAUGGAACACUUGGACCUUUCUUUUAACCAACUUUCAGGCUCCCUGCCACAUGAUAUUGGCUUUCAGCUUCCUAAUCUUAAGUUUUUCGGCACAACGGGGAACCAGUUCGAAGGUUUAAUCCCAGCCUCCUUUUCAAAUGUGUCUGCACUUGAAUAUUUUCUUCUACGUCAUAAUCAAUACCACGGUCUGAUUCCAAGGGAUAUUGGCAGACACGGUAAUCUGAAGUACUUUUCUGUAGGGUACAAUCAGUUGCAAGCCUCACGUAGGGAUUGGGACUUCCUCACAUCCAUAACCAACUGUAGCAAGUUGGAAUUAUUAGACCUUGAACAAAACAACUUUGUAGGUAUUAUGCCGAUUACCAUUGCCAACCUAUCUAAAGAGCUUUCAUGGCUUUCCCUUGCUAGAAACCAAAUAACUGGGAUUAUACCGGCAGGGUUAGGAAUGUUUCAAAGACUUACAAAGUUAAACCUGGAGGAUAACCUCUUCACAGGUGCCUUACCGGUGGAUAUUGGCCGGCUUCCUAGCCUCCAGGAUCUUGACCUGUCCCAUAAUAGAUUUGAAGGACAGAUUCCACAAUCAUUUGGCAAUAUCACAAAAUUGAGCAAGCUUUAUUUAUCCAAUAACUUUCUGGACGAUACCAUCCCAACAAGCCUUGGUAACCUGAGAACUCUUGUGUCCAUAGAUAUUUCCUGCAACUUCUUGAGCGGUCGAAUCCCAUAAGAGAUACUUAGCAUUCCUUCCCUAACCAUACUUCUCAACCUCUCCAACAAUGCUCUAAGUGGCUCCAUCCCAGCACAGAUUGGACACUUGAUCAACCUCGUGUCAAUCGACCUCUCAAUGAAUAAGCUAACUGGUGAAAUCCCAGACGCUGUUGGAAGCUGUGUCCAAUUACGAUUGCUACACUUCCAAGGGAAUCUGCUACAAGGAAAAAUUCCAAAUGGUCUGAAAACAUUGGGGGUGCUUGAAAACUUGGAUCUCUCUAGCAAUAACUUAACAGGCCCCAUACCAGAAUUCCUGGAGAGCAUCAAAACUCUAAAUCAUCUAAAUCUCUCCUUCAACAACCUUUCAGGUCCAGUUCCUGAUACAGGAAUCUUUUGUAAUGCCACUAUAUUGUCGCUCAUAGGUAAUAGCAUGCUAUGCGGGGGUCCACCAUUCUUGCAGUUCCCAUCAUGUGCAUCUGUGCGUUCUCAGCAUCAAAUGCACCUACUAAUAGUAUUCAGCAUUCUUGGAACUUUGAUCUUCUUAUUGUUCUCUAUUCCUACAUACUGCUGCAUCCAGAGAAGGGUCAAACCCAACAUUGUUGAUCAAGAGAACCUACUUCUCAGUGAGACGCAUGAGAGGAUAUCCUAUGAUGAGCUGCGUUCAGCAACACAGUCAUUCUCACCUGCCAAUUAGAUUGGUUCUGGAAGCUUUGGCAAUGUAUACAGAGGAACUUUCGUCGUUGAUGAGAACUUAGCUACUACUGUGGCAAUAAAGGUUCUUAAUCUUAAUCUCCGAGGAGCCAGUAGAAGUUUUUUGAGAGAGUGCAAUGCCCUAAGAAGGAUUCGGCACCGAAAUCUUGUGCAAGUGAUCACAGUGUGCAGUGGCUUGGACCAUAAUGGUGGUGAAUUCAAGGCACUUGUCCUGGAAUUUAUCUGCAAUGGAAGUCUAGACGAGUGGCUGCAUCCAAACAUAAUGACAAAUAGCCUGACCGCCAAAAGGCUCAGUUUGAUGAGAAGACUGUACAUUGCUCUUGAUGUUGCAGCAGUGCUGGAAUAUCUUCACCACAAUAUUGAGCCACCCAUAGUUCAUUGUGACAUUAAACCAAGCAACAUACUUUUAGAUGAUGAUUUAGUUGCACAUGUAACAGAUUUUGGUCUAGCAAAGAUAAUGCAUGCUGAAGUAUGGAAGAAAAAUCAUGGUGGCAGUGAAAGCAGCUCAUUGGCAGUUAAAGGCACAAUUGGAUAUGUUCCACCAGAGUAUGGCUCAGGGUAUGGGGUGUCCACGGAUGGUGACAUAUAUAGCUAUGGGAUGUUGCUAUUGGAAAUGCUUACUGGAAAGAAGCCAACUGACAGUUUCAACCUUGGUGAGACAAGUCUAGUCAAUUACGUCAAGAUGGCCUAUCCAAACAAAUUACUGGAAAUACUGGAUGCUAGUGCAACCUACAGUGGAAACACCCAAGAUGUCAUGGAUUUAGUCAUUCAUCCUGUGUUUAGACUUGCCCUAGCAUGCUGCCA